UAACGCGUGAGUAACCUGUCCUAGAGUGGGGGACAACAGUUGGAAACGACUGCUAAUACCGCAUAAGCCCACGGUACCGCAUGGUACUGAGGGAAAAGGAUUUAUUCGCUUUAGGAUGGACUCGCGUCCAAUUAGCUAGUUGGUGAGGUAACGGCCCACCAAGGCGACGAUUGGUAGCCGGACUGAGAGGUUGAACGGCCACAUUGGGACUGAGACACGGCCCAGACUCCUACGGGAGGCAGCAGUGGGGGAUAUUGCACAAUGGGGGAAACCCUGAUGCAGCGACGCCGCGUGGAGGAAGAAGGUUUUCGGAUUGUAAACUCCUGUCGUUAGGGACGAUAAUGACGGUACCUAACAAGAAAGCACCGGCUAACUACGUGCCAGCAGCCGCGGUAAAACGUAGGGUGCAAGCGUUGUCCGGAAUUACUGGGUGUAAAGGGAGCGCAGGCGGGAAGACAAGUUGGAAGUGAAAACCAUGGGCUCAACCCAUGAAUUGCUUUCAAAACUGUUUUUCUUGAGUAGUGCAGAGGUAGAUGGAAUUCCCGGUGUAGCGGUGGAAUGCGUAGAUAUCGGGAGGAACACCAGUGGCGAAGGCGGUCUACUGGGCACCAACUGACGCUGAGGCUCGAAAGCAUGGGUAGCAAACAGGAUUAGAUACCCUGGUAGUCCAUGCCGUAAACGAUGAUUACUAGGUGU
rnacentral:rRNA from 1 species